rnacentral:rRNA from 1 species
AGUGAACGCUGGCGGCGUGGAUUAGGCAUGCAAGUCGAGCGAUCUCGCAAGAGAUAGCGGCAAACGGGUGAGUAACACGUGAGUAAUUUGCCUCGAAAUUGGACAUAGCAUCGUGAAAACGGUGGUAAUUUCCAAUGUGGUCAUGAGCUGGUAUCAGCAUAUGAUUAAAGAAGGGGACCGCAAGGCCUUUCGUUUCGAGAUGAGCUCGCGUCCAUCAGCUUGUUGGUGGGGUAAUGGCCUACCAAGGCAUUUGACGGGUAGCUGGCCUGAGAGGGUGGUCAGCCACACUGGGACUGAGACACUGCCCAGACUCCUACGGGAGGCUGCAGUCGAGAAUAUUUAGCAAUGGACGAAAGUCUGACUAUGCGACGCCGCGUGCAGGAUGAAGGUUUUCGGAUCGUAAACUGCUUUUGUCUGGAAAGAAACCUAUUUUAUUAAUAGUAAAAUAGCUGACGGUACCAGACGAAUAAGCCACGGCUAACUCC